CGAGGCCUUCGAGGUGCUGCAUGGUUGUCGUCAGCUCGUGCCGUGAGGUGUUGGGUUAAGUCCCGCAACGAGCGCAACCCCUAUCUCCAGUUGCAGCAGUAAUGCUGAGGACUCUGGAGACUGCCGGCGUAAGCCGGAGGAAGGUGGGGACGACGUCAAAUCAUCAUGGCCUUUAUGCCUGGGGCGACACACGUGCUACAAUGGCGUACAGAGGGCAGCAGACCGCGAGGUUGAGCGAAUCCCACAAAGCGUCCCAGUUCGGAUCGAAGUCUGCAACCCGACUCUGAAGGGGAAUCGCUAGUAAUCGCGCAUCAGCCAUGGCGCGGUGAAUACGUUCCCGGACCUUGUACACACCGCCC
rnacentral:rRNA from 1 species